AUUACCAGCAAGGGACUUCUCUUUCCAUCGAAAUGGAGACGUAGCAGCUUUGAAGAGCUGAGGUUGUGCAACUCGUGAGCUCUGCUUCCUCUGGUGAUGGAGACUCAAGAGGCAUAAAAAAGGGAAAGGCAGCACUUGGACCAGAAAUGGAAAAGCAGCAUUGGAGGCUAAUUCUUGCUUUCUGAAACCCUUCUGGAGGAGACUGUCCUUGGGGACACUUCCAAGGUUUGCUACACAUUAUGGAUUAUUAUUAUUUUUUUCUAACAUGGCAGCUCUGAAGUGAUUAAGGCUAUUCAUGACCUUUUUUUUUUUGUACGUCUUACCCAGAAGAAGGGAAAACUGCUUAGUGCAAAUGCAUCUCCAAGUGCCUUAAGGGGCAUUUAGCUAACGGCCUGGACUGCGCGUUGUCGCGUUUUGCCAAAUAGGAAGAACAGCUCCGUGAAACGGUGGAGACGGACAGUUAAGCAGACGGCUCAAAA